rnacentral:rRNA from 1 species
AGAGUUUGAUCCUGGCUCAGGAUGAACGCUAGCGGCAGGCUUAAUACAUGCAAGUCGAGGGGCAGCAUGGUGCAGCAAUACGCUGAUGGCGACCGGCAAACGGGUGCGGAACACGUACAGAACCUUCCUUCGAGCGGGGAAUAGCCCAGAGAAAUUUGGAUUAAUACCCCAUAGUACAACGGAGUGGCAUCGCUUUGUUGUUAAAGAUUUAUCACUUGAAGAUGGCCGUGCGGCUGAUUAGGUAGUUGGCGGGGUAACGGCCCACCAAGCCUGCGAUCAGUAACUGGUGUGAGAGCACGACCAGUCACACGGGCACUGAGACACGGCCCAGACUCCUACGGGAGGCAGCAGUGGGGAAUUUUGGACAAUGGGGGCAACCCUGAUCCAGCCAUGCCGCGUGAGUGAAGAAGGCCUUCGGGUUGUAAAGCUCUUUCAGCCGGGAAGAAAACGCACUCUCUAACAUAGGGUGUAGAUGACGGUACCGGACCAAGAAGCACCGGCUAACUACGUGCCAGCAGCCGCGGUAAUA